GACGAACGCUGGCGGCGUGCCUAAUACAUGCAAGUCGAGCGCAGGAAAUCGACGGAACCCUUCGGGGGGAAGUCGGCGGAAUGAGCGGCGGACGGGUGGGUAACACGUAAAGAACCUGCCCUCAGGUCUGGGAUAACCACGAGAAAUCGGGGCUAAUACCGGAUGGGUCAUCGGACCGCAUGGUCCGAGGAUGAAAGGCGCUUCGGCGUCGCCUGGGGAUGGCUUUGGGGUGCAUUAGCUAGUUGGUGGGGUAAUGGCCCACCAAGGCGACGAUGCAUAGCCGACCUGAGAGGGUGAUCGGCCACACUGGGACUGAGACACGGCCCAGACUCCUACGGGAGGCAGCAGUAGGGAAUCUUCCACAAUGGACGAAAGUCUGAUGGAGCAACGCCGCGUGAACGAUGAAGGCCUUCGGGUCGUAAAGUUCUGUUGUAAGGGAAGAACAAGUGCCGCAGGCAAUGGCGGCACCUUGACGGUACCUUGCGAGAAAGCCACGGCUAACUACGUGCCAGCAGCCGCCGUAA
rnacentral:rRNA from 1 species